rnacentral:lncRNA from 10 species
GUAAGGUGUGUGUCUAAGCAGUAUUUAUGACAUAACAAACCAGCCAAGAGCUGGAGGUUCUGAUCAGCAAAUAAGGAAGGAACAACAUCUGACAUCUUUACCCACUUUAACUGUGAGUAUAUGAAAUCUAGGCAACAAAAUAAAUAGAACAGAGACUGGAAGACGUGAUGCUUCCUGGGAGAACAUGUGCCCCAUCAAGCAAAGAACUUGUAAUACGCUGAAUGCUGCAUAGAAGGUUUUGAAACUACUUACCUGCUGUGGAACACCUGUAUAACUUUAAAAUGCAUCAAUCAAUCUCGAGAGUAUGAUCAUGCUUCCUGCUUUUAAGGAUCUGAAGUUAACUGCAACUCCAAGUAUACAAGACUUCUUUGGGACCCAUGGAAGCAUCUCUACAUGCUCAUGUUUGCCAGAUUCAGUGGCCUCCUGAAACCUGGCCCUAGCUAAUAAGUUAAAAAGCUCUAAGUAAUCCCGAGCUGCAUUUGAAUCUCCAAGAUCACUUGUUCAUGGGUUGGUAAUACUUUAAAGAGCCAUUUGUUUAACUGCUAAUCUGGAUCUUAUAUUCUGAGCCCCAGCUUUUUUCUAAAGCAAAGAAAAUACAAAAUAAAAGUAAGACCAAAUGCCUUUGUACCAUGGAGAGAGAAAUGACUCAUUGGAAUGCUUCUGUUUUUCAUCACAUCAAAGAUGCAUCAACAUAAAUCAACCAUUAUAUCAUGCACCAUGAUAAAAAAGGGGGAUAAAAGUCCCCAAACCACUGCCAAUUAAACCAACACAGUGCCUUUGUAUUAUUCAGAAUUUUUAUCUUAGCCUUAUUGAAAGAGCUUUUUUAGAACAUAUUUAAACAAUUCUGUCAUAUUUCAUUCUUGCAUACUCAUUAAAAAGGAAAAUAUGAGAGAUACAAAUGAAAGGUUUCCAAAAGUUUCCUCUCAUUCAGAAUCCAAUUCUUCAGAAUUAUUUUGCAACCCAGACUCUUUGAUGUCCUCGUUUUCCCACCAAAUAUGUUAUCAAGAGCAUGGUAGGGCAGAGUUUCUUAGAAGAAGGCAAUGUUAUUGUCAUUGAACACUGGCACUCAUCCUACAAGUUUUGAUUUUGGCCUCUUUUUUUCUGUGGGGUGGGGGGCAGGGUCUCGCUCUGUUGCCCAGGCUGGAGUGCAGUGGCACAGUCAUGGAUCACUGCAGCCUUGGCCUCCUGGGCUCAAGUCGUCCUCCCACCUCAGCCUCCCAAGUAGCUGAGACCGCAAGUGUGUGCUAUGUUUUUAUUUUUUUACUUUUAUUUUUUUAAUUUUAUUUAUUUACUGUUUAUUUAUUUAUUUAUUUUUGAGACAGGGUCUCACUCUGUCACCCAGGCUGGAGUGCACUGGUGUGAUCUGGGCUCACUGCAACCUCCACCUCCUGGGUUCAAGCAUUUCUCCUGCCUCAACCUCCUGAGUAGCUGGGAGUACAGGAUUGCACCACCAUGCCCAGCUAAUUUUUGUAUUUCAGUAGAGACAGGAUUUCACCAUGUUGGCCAGGCUGGUCUCGAACUCCUAGCCUCAAGUGAUCCGCGCACCUUGGACUCCCAAAGUUCUGGGAUUACAGGCGUGAACCACCAGGCCCGCCCUAAUUUUUUCAUUUUUUUUAUAGAAAUGGGGUCUCACUGUGUUGCCUAAGCUGGUCU